CGGGAUAGCACAGCUGGUAGAGCAGAAGGACUGAAAAUCCUCGUGUCACCAGUUCAAAU
rnacentral:tRNA from 9 species